UACGUAGGGUGCAAGCGUUGUCCGGAAUUAUUGGGCGUAAAGAGCUCGUAGGCGGUCUGUCGCGUCGGAUGUGAAAACCCAGGGCUCAACCCUGGGCCUGCAUUCUAUACGGGCAGACUAGAGUUCGGUAGGGGAGACUGGAAUUCCUGGUGUAGCGGUGAAAUGCGCAGAUAUCAGGAGGAACACCGGUGGCGAAGGCGGGUCUCUGGGCCGAAACUGACGCUGAGGAGCGAAAGCGUGGGGAGCAAACAGG
rnacentral:rRNA from 1 species